UCGUAGAGUUUAGGCUCUUUCCUGCGGAGCUUAACCCAUGUCCUUUUCGAGUACCUGUCGUUUCCUCGGCAGGUCCGCCUGCCAAUGGGACAUUUUAAACCAUUUGCGAUAACUGCAAUCAAAUCGUCUGAAAAAAACUUAAUAUUAC
rnacentral:misc_RNA from 1 species